AACCUACGACUCUCUAAGCGACCUGAACCGCCGGGUGCCCGGCCGUUGCGCGGGCUGAUGACGUACGGAAGCUGCCGGCGUUGCCCUCUCCCAAGAUGGCGGCCAGGUCGCCUGCUCGGGCCUCCCAGGCGACUUUGCCCCACUGCGCCCGCGCUCUCUUCUCCUUUCCAUUUCUGGACCAAGGGGCUGCCAUAAGGAGUCUGUGACUAGAGAUGGGAGGUGGUGGCCACGGCCUCUCGCUGUAUGCUGUGUGGAAGGUCGAAUCAUCAUCAUCAUAAAACUUAAUAUUGCCCUUAUGUGCCAGGAACUACUGAAAAAUGAUCCAGCUAUAAUAACCACCUCCUUUAUCGAACACCUACUUGGUGACAGUCAUGCUGGCUCUGAUAAUCUGAUUCCUUACAACUGUUCUGCAAGGGCCUACUGUUACCCUCCCUGCCGGUUCACUUAUUCAGGAUUCAUUGAGCUUUUACUAUGUGCCCGGACGUCCUUUGCAAAUCUGUCUCACUAAUCUUUGCAAGAAAGAAACCUCUACAAAGAGGUUUAUUAUCCCAGUUUAGAGAGAAUCAAAUGGAGGCUCAGAAAGAGUAAGUCCACUGACUGAUAUGCUAGCAAGUGGUGGGGACAGGAUGUAAACCAGGUGUUUCCGACUCUGGGGCCUUCAGGGGUUCCUGUCUGUGCUGCUUUGUCCCUAGAAGGCCAUGGAGGUUUGGGUACUAUGUGCACAUCUGUGUAUCAUUUCCAGAAGACAUGGGUUGGCCAGCUGUCCUGGACACCUCGAGCACACACAGACUGCAAGCUCCAUGAAGGCAGCAGGCUGAUCUCCCUUGAUCACGGCCUUAUCGCCUGUACCUGGAACACAAGGCCUGACACAAAGCAGGCAUUCAGAAAAUAUGUGUCAAAAAUCACAAACUAUGUGCUGAGCAUGUAAGAGACAGCUCUUACAUGAUGGAAAGUUCUCAAAGGCAGACUGGAUAACGGAGGUGGCAAGGAAUUUGUGAUGAUUCCAGAUUUCUGGAUGUGGAGAGUAGAAGUUCCUGGAGGGCAGUCUGGGAAUGCCGUCAGUGCUGCUGUAUUCCCAGGGCCUGGCAUGCAGCAGGUGCUUAGUGAAUAUUCGCUGAGGGAGUGGCACGUGGGUCUAGUGCCACUUCAGCAGUGCGUUUCCUUCAGGCG
rnacentral:lncRNA from 10 species